rnacentral:rRNA from 1 species
AGCGUAGGCGGACAUUUAAGUCAGGGGUGAAAUCCCAGAGCUCAACUCUGGAACUGCCUUUGAUACUGGGUGUCUUGAGUGUGAGAGAGGUAUGUGGAACUCCGAGUGUAGAGGUGAAAUUCGUAGAUAUUCGGAAGAACACCAGUGGCGAAGGCGACAUACUGGCUCAUUACUGACGCUGAGGCUCGAAAGCGUGGGGAGCAAACAGGAUUAGAUACCCCCGUA